AUUUGAAGGCCAUUCCUUCAAGCUUUGAAGUUCACAUCUUACUGGCUGUGUCUCGACUUCAUAUUGUUGUGUCUUCUUUGAUUACUUGUGAUAUAAGAAAGAAGAGUACUAGGAAUUUGAAUAUUGCUCCUCCUAGCAAGAGAUGGGUGCGUUUUUGGGUUGCCGAGGAGCCUUUGAGAAUGCUUCCCCAAAACCUCCCUUUGUUCGGAUUGAUAAUGUUGGGACAAGAGAGUGUGAAGUUUGGGUUCCCUUUUCAGACUAAGGGAUUUGUAUUACUUUUGAAGGAAUAAAAGGUUCCUAUGUUUGAAAUAGUUUCAAAAAGAUUGGUCUCUGAUGCCAUAUUUCUCUCCUUUUUUAAAAUCGCGUCUUUGGAUGGUUGAGCAUUGCACCUUCUCAAUUACACCUAAAUUCUAUGGUGUUUGUAUAAUAUAGCAAAUUUAUAGGAGAAUUUGGUCAAGUUGAUCAACCAUCUUAAGAAAAUCCCUCUUAGUGUAGCCAACCUACCAGAGAAGCUGACUAUCGUUACAAAAAAGAGUAAGGCGACAUUGAAUUUUUUUGGGUCCUCCUAUGCUUUAGGGCAUGUUGUCGACACCCAUGUUCUGAAUCAUGAACUAUGCCCGAUCAGGGAGCCUUUCCCCUUUACUUUCCCUACCCGUUGGUUUAAUCGAAGAAAGUGCUGGAUGAUGACAUCUUGGUCGUUGUCUGAGUAGUGGCCAUAACCCUAGUGAUGGACGACAAUGAGUAAAAUUACUUGGCGGAGGUGGGGAAGCUUUGAUGAAAAAAAAAGCUACUUAGGAGGUGGAGGAGAUGUGGAUUCAAAAUAAUCUUCAACGACAGAAGAAUAACUACGAGAUACGGGCAGCUUGAUGACGAACUUGUUACGAAGAAUGAGCCAGUCACUAACUUAACAGCCAAGGGGGACUCUCUUGCAGAAAAAGUGGAUAAUUUUGACUGGGAGAAGACGAAACUAGAAAAUGCUCUCAAAGCUAGUGAAAGAUAAGGUUCAUAAACGAAAGUUGUGAAGAAAGAGAAAGAUGACCUCUAGGAGGUGUUUCGUCCAGCCAUUGAGUAUGUCGAUGGUGGGGACGGGUCCUCGAAUCUCGAAGAUUAUCAGACAGAGUUAAUUGUAAAGUUUGUUAAAUUUGGAAAUGAGUUUGUCGCCGAUGUUAUGAAAUAACAACAUUGAUAUAUAGUAACUAAAGAUAUAUACAUAUAAUGAUGAGAUAUGAUAGGAUAUUA